GCUUGCUCCCUGGGUGACGAGCGGCGGACGGGUGAGUAAUGUCUGGGAAACUGCCUGAUGGAGGGGGAUAACUACUGGAAACGGUAGCUAAUACCGCAUAACGUCGCAAGACCAAAGAGGGGGACCUUCGGGCCUCUUGCCAUCAGAUGUGCCCAGAUGGGAUUAGCUAGUAGGUGGGGUAAUGGCUCACCUAGGCGACGAUCCCUAGCUGGUCUGAGAGGAUGACCAGCCACACUGGAACUGAGACACGGUCCAGACUCCUACGGGAGGCAGCAGUGGGGAAUAUUGCACAAUGGGCGCAAGCCUGAUGCAGCCAUGCCGCGUGUGUGAAGAAGGCCUUCGGGUUGUAAAGCACUUUCAGCGAGGAGGAAGGUGGUGAACUUAAUACGUUCAUCAAUUGACGUUACUCGCAGAAGAAGCACCGGCUAACUCCGUGCCAGCAGCCGCGGUAAUACGGAGGGUGCAAGCGUUAAUCGGAAUUACUGGGCGUAAAGCGCACGCAGGCGGUUUGUUAAGUCAGAUGUGAAAUCCCCGGGCUCAACCUGGGAACUGCAUUUGAAACUGGCAAGCUAGAGUCUCGUAGAGGGGGGUAGAAUUCCAGGUGUAGCGGUGAAAUGCGUAUAGAUCUGGAGGAAUACCGGUGGCGAAAGCGGCCCCCUGGACCAAGACUGACGCUCAGGUGCGAAAGCGUGG
rnacentral:rRNA from 1 species